rnacentral:rRNA from 1 species
CCUACGGGAGGCAGCAGUGAGGAAUAUUGGUCAAUGGGCGGGAGCCUGAUCCAGCCACGUCGCGUGAGGGAAGACGGUCCUCUGGAUUGUAAACCCCUUUAGGCGGGGAGCAAUGCAGGGCACGUGUGCCCGGAGGGAGCGUACCCGCAGACUACGCAUCGGCUACCUCCGUGCCAGCAGCCGCGGUAAUACGGAGGAUGCGAGCGUUAUCCGGAUUUAUUGGGGUUAAAGGGUGCGUAGGCGGAUUGAUAAGUUAGAGGUGAAAUGUCCGAGCUUAACUCGGGAACUGCCUCUAAUACUGUUGAGCUAGAGAGUAGAUGCGGUAGGCGGAAUGUAUGGUGUAGCGGUGAAAUGCUUAGAGAUCAGACAGAACACCGAUUGCGAAGGCAGCUUACCAAUCUAUAUCUGACGUUGAGGCACGAAAGCGUGGGGAGCAAACAGGAUUAGAUACCCCUGUAGUC